rnacentral:rRNA from 1 species
UACGUAGGGUGCGAGCGUUAAUCGGAAUUACUGGGCGUAAAGCGUGCGCAGGCGGUUUUGUAAGCCAGAUGUGAAAUCCCCGGGCUUAACCUGGGAAUGGCAUUUGGGACUGCAAGGCUUGAGUGCGGCAGAGGAGACUGGAAUUCCUGGUGUAGCAGUGAAAUGCGUAGAUAUCAGGAGGAAUACCGAUGGCGAAGGCAGGUCUCGUGGGCUGACACUGAC